GGAGGGGAGGGGGCACAGCUAAGAGAGCAGAUUCAAACUGGCCAAAGGGAUAUUCCAUAUCAUGUAACGUCAUGCCCAGUAUGUUACCUGGGAGGGGCUGGCCGGGGGAGGGAGGCAGCAAUUGCGGCUCGGGGACAGUUAGCGUCAGUCGGCGGGUGGUUUGCAUUUCUAUUCAGUUCAGCCACUAUUUUUCCAGCCGGUUUGGCAUCUUUUUUUCCCAGCUCAGUAUUCGCGCAGCUCAACAACCUUUGCAAAAUACAACACAUCUUACACUAGAGAGAGCUGCAGCACUGUUGUCAGGAUACACGAUAUGAUCACCUCUGUGAAUAUUGAAGAGACAAGAGUCUGGACAGGGGAAAAAAGAAGAGCCUUCAUUCUGAUCUUAUUAGGCUGCUUGACAAACUUUUAAUUGCGUAUGCGCCUCUGUGAAUCAGCUUUACUGUAUUAGUAAUAAUGUGUAAAACCAAACUGUUAGAAACAGCUUGGCCAUCAGUAACAGGCACAGUGGUGCUCAGCCUAACAGUAAGGAAGGAAAAAUCUUUUAAUGGAUUUGUAGCAAAAGGAGACGUUAUACAGUCAAACUCCUACAGUGCUAAAGUUCAGAUAAAGAACUUUUACUUUCUUCAGUGAGCCCGGAGUAAUCAUCCAUUAUUAAUCACUGCAUAUUCACACUCCCCGAGUCCUCUGAACUCCUAGAUGCCCUGUCCAUAUUGGUAUGAGCAUGCUGAGAUUGCAUUCUUAUACCGAGCAUAAGCAAAGACUCUUCAGUCCAAGCCUGACACACAGAUUCCUCCGCCCCCCUCCUGCCGCUCCCACCAAGACGAGUGCACCACCUCCUCCUCAUUCCCAUCUGACGCAGGAAUAGGAAGUGGCACUCCAAGAUGAGAAUCCUGAAGGCAAUCAGGACCCGUAGCCACCCUUCUGGAGGCACAUAACAUAAACGAAACUGCAUGGACAGAUGUUCUUUUGAUCCAGCUGGACCAGAUGAGGAUAACCACCCCCUGCUCUUCAUCAGUUACCCUCCAGUUUAGUGAUGGAGUAAUUUGUGAUUCUGACAACUAACUCCUUCCAUCAAUGAUCACUCAGACUUGCUUUUAUCAGUUAUUAAAACUAUUUGAUCAAACGUGGCUAACUUUGCUUGACUUUGAUUAGGGAAUAUUCAGACAAAACGUCACUGUGGGAGGAAUGGUCAGCUCCAGCAACAGGCUGGUAACAGGAGCAGGAAUGUCUUAAAGGUGCAGCUACUCAUGCAGCAAACAUCUGGCCCUUGCUUUACUCCUUCCAAUACUUCCUGGUAACUUAUGAAAAAAUCAUACUUGGAGUAAAAAUAACCCUGUUCUCCUACUGAAGCUGUGAUUGUGAAAACCUCGACAAAACAGCAUUAUAAAAGCCACAGUCUAAUUGUAUUUCUCAUGUAUGCAUUCUAAUGACAACAUUUUUAAUGAAAUUUACUGAGGUGAAACACAGGUCUAUUUAACAUCUGUGAUUCACCCAAGUUCAAGCUGCCAAAAGAUUGAAUGAC